GAAACCGUUCUACAAUGAACCGAUUAAAUGAAUGACCUUCAGCCCGCUAUAUUGCCACACAAGUAGUCGGAGCCUAGAUUUCGUUCAGAACGCACGUGCUUAUUCGAUAGUUCUCGGAAUUGCAAGUGGUUUUUUGUGUUGCGUGAAGUGCAUUCUGGAAUAAAUUUUUUAUGGAUUCUGAACAACAGGAAAUUUUGGACAUUCUUUGGAAGAGGAGGGAUGUGGCUGAGCGCAGUUAGCACAGAAAGUGCGUUCACAGUCAGAUGGGGAAUGGGGAGGAGCUGGCAAGAUUUGCAGCGCAUGGGGAGUGGUAUAAAUAGGCGAACCAAAACUUUGCACCAAGCAAUGUCGAUCUUACUGGGAAGAUGGUUGUUCAUACCAAAUGAACACAUCCCUGCAUUGUCCUCCUAACUCGUCUAAAUACGAAUUAGAGGACAAUGCAAAAAACACCCAACAGCGCCAACAUAACAGCGAAGCACCCAACGAAACAAAAA